GGGUGAGUAAUACAUCGGAACGUGUCUUCUAGUGGGGGAUAACUGCCCGAAAGGGCAGCUAAUACCGCAUGAGACCUGAGGGUGAAAGCGGGGGAUCGCAAGACCUCGCGCUGGAAGAGCGGCCGAUGUCCGAUUAGCUGGUUGGUGAGGUAAAGGCUCACCAAGGCGACGAUCGGUAGCUGGUCUGAGAGGACGACCAGCCACACUGGGACUGAGACACGGCCCAGACUCCUACGGGAGGCAGCAGUGGGGAAUUUUGGACAAUGGGGGCAACCCUGAUCCAGCCAUGCCGCGUGCAGGAUGAAGGUCUUCGGAUUGUAAACUGCUUUUGUCAGGGACGAAAAGGGAUGCGAUAACACCGUAUUCCGCUGACGGUACCUGAAGAAUAAGCACCGGCUAACUACGUGCCAGCAGCCGCGGUAAUACGUAGGGUGCAAGCGUUAAUCGGAAUUACUGGGCGUAAAGCGUGCGCAGGCGGUUCUGUAAGAUAGAUGUGAAAUCCCCGGGCUCAACCUGGGAAUUGCAUAUAUGACUGCAGGACUUGAGUUUGUCAGAGGAGGGUGGAAUUCCACGUGUAGCAGUGAAAUGCGUAGAUAUGUGGAAGAACACCGAUGGCGAAGACAGCCCUCUGGGACAUGACUGACGCUCAUGC
rnacentral:rRNA from 1 species